UACGGGGGGGGCAAGCGUUGUUCGGAAUUACUGGGCGUAAAGGGCUCGUAGGCGGCCAACUAAGUCAUACGUGAAAUCCCUCGGCUUAACCGGGGAACUGCGUCUGAUACUGGAUGGCUUGAGUUCGGGAGAGGGAUGCGGAAUUCCAGGUGUAGCGGUGAAAUGCGUAGAUAUCUGGAGGAACACCGGUGGCGAAGGCGGCAUCCUGGACCGAUACUGGCGCUGAGGAGCGAAAGCCAGGGGAGCAAACGGG
rnacentral:rRNA from 1 species